rnacentral:rRNA from 1 species
AUGGGUGUGGGAUACCUGACAGUUCAGGAAUACAACUCUGAUGAAAGGAAGAUCUUCUCUAAGCACUUCACUAGGGUGAUGUUCCGAGUCAAUGCCCUCCUUGUGGUGAACGCCAUCCUGAUGGGAGUCAUGGUUGUCCUAGGUGCAUACGGUCGCUAUCGCCGCCAUCCAUUGACCCGCUACAUUUUCUUGGGUGCCACUGCAUUGUUCAUUCCCAUAAUCUCCUAUGUCCUAUCUGACAUUGGUAAUCAGAAUGGCCUUAUCCUUUUUGACGAUGGAGAAAAGAUAGUAGGCCGCAUGUGCAAUGCAAGUACCCACAUGAAUCUAGUCUUAAUAUGGACUGGUCUUGUUCAAAUGGUUGGUAUCAGCACCACUUUGGUAGUGGUCAGUGAUCCUAGAGAAGGGCGAAACAUUGGUCCAUAUGUGGCACUACUUGUGCAAGCAAUGUGGACUUCCUACCUGAUGGUCUAUAACACAGGGUUGGAUUAUUAUACAUCCAUCGACCUGGGAGGUACUACUACUGAUACCUACAUCAAGUGGUCUCUGGUAAAUGUAUUUUCUCCAACAGGAUUGGUGAUUGUCCCACCAUUUGCUCUCACCUUUGCAAAAUUACUUUUCAAGUGUUUUGUGUGGCACAAGGCCAGAAAAUCACUAGCAAUUGGAUGCAAUCCCCGUCUUAUUGUUGGAUACAUGGAGCAGCUACAUGACGCCGACAUGACAAAUGAUUAUGGGGAUAUACCUCCUCCACUAAUAGUAAUGGGCGAAGACACAAUAUCUGUGGAUAAGGAGCCUCAUGGUUAUAGCUUUGCACUUAUCCCCAAUAGAGGCGGCUUAGUGACCCUUGACAAAGUUUGGCAGCUGGAUGACAUGCAUGAUCUCAAGUUGACAUCACAUCUCAAAGAUGUAUGCCUCUCCUUCGCACUGUCCAAGCUUUUAAGGUGUCGGUUCGCCAGGUACACAAAUGCUAAGACUGGCUUCACCAAAGCUUCUAGCUUUUUACGGAAUAUGUUACUCGAGGAUAGCAAUGAUGAGAGGGUACUUCAACUGAUUGAAUAUGAGCUUUCUUUUCUUCAUGAUGUUUAUUUUUCAUCACUGGUAAUCACAUAUUCAGAGAGCAGGAUGCCCAUACUAAGCAUAUUGAUUUCACUCUCAGGCAUCGGCUACUGCUUACUUUUUACUAUGGCCAGAGUAUAUCUUCCAUUUAUUAUGGCAGAUCGAUCAACUGCAUCUUCCGAGCUGAUAUCUUGCUUGUAUUGGUGCCUUCAAUUCGAGGGAGAACAGCAAGGUACCACAACACACCUACGCGGUCAGGACUUUGGAAGUCCAGCAUUUGACCUUGUACCGAUUGUUGUACUUGUUGCACUCGUUGUGCUUGCUGAGAUAAGAGAGACUGCUUUUUACGUUUGUUCUAACUGGACAAAAGUAGCCCUAAUCUGCGCCCACAUAAACCAUCCUUCUUGGAAGCAAUCUCCUAUCAUGCAGAAAUGUAUCAGGCAUGUGUUGCAGUGUAGAUGCAAGAUAUUAAACCAUUGGGAAGACACGAUGAACCAAUGUUCAAUACUGGUGCUACACCCAAGGAAUACUCCAAUGGGUCUGCUUCGUCGUCUUAAACCUGGUCAGAAGGUCAAGGUGCCAAGGGCGGUGAAAGCUGGUAUCAUGAAUGCAUUGAGAAGCUAUGAGAGAAGCAGAAACAAUAACCGCAUGCCAUCUCUGUGCCCGAGGCCGCAGUUGAAGACCGGCGACAACCUCCUUUGGGUGGUCGAUGGCACAAAAGGUAUAGCCAAGACCAUUCUUGUGUGCCACAUCGCCACAAGCAUUCUUGAACUCAGGUCAGCUGGAUCAUGUCAACCUCUCUCUGACCAUAAGACCGCUGCCAUUCACCUGUCCCGGUAUUGCGCCUACCUGGUGGCCUAUUCCCCUGAGCUGCUUCCAGAGGACGACGAGUGGUGCAAGAGCUUGUACAAGACCGUCAAGAAGAAGGCCGAGCACAUCCUCGCCGGCAUGCCAACACCUGAAGUGGAUUAUCAACCGUUGGUAGAGCUGAUGAGCGCCUCACAGAAUCAUGAGGUGCUCAAGGAUGGUACCAAGCUCGGACAACAGUUGGCGGAGCUGAACCAAGGAGAGGCCAACACAGCGUGGGAGCUCCUCGCCGGCUUUUGGUCGGAGAUGAUGCUGUACAUCGCUCCAUCAGACAACAUUGACGGUCACUCGGAGGCCAUCGCCCGCGGCGGCGAGCUCAUAACGCUCGUAUGGGCAUUGCUCGCACACCUGGGGAUUUUCAGUAGAGCCGCCGGCGACCCGGCCAGCAUCACUGGCGAAAGUGUGUAG